CUGCUUUUUUGUGUCAUCUUUAAACUCAGUUUUAUGUCCCUUGGGUUGAACACGUGCAUUAGCAGGAUGCUCCUGGCUGGUGUUGUUUCUCAGCGCUGCGAAAUGCAUUUCCAGCCCCGACCCUUAGAUCACUAUAAUUUCAUUUUCCGUGCUGCAGCUUGGUUAAAAUAUACCCUACUCCUCCUCUCACCCCAGAUUCCUGCCACAUACCUGGCAUUCCUUCAUCUUAAUGAGAUGAGGGAGUGGGGGAUUUCACCCUCCUGGAAUUUUAGAGGAAUAUUAAGUGGAUUUCUCAUGAAAAGUCCCAUUUAGGAUAUAAAUCUCUCCAGAAGAUAGCCUUGCGUGGCAAACCUUGCUUUUGCUAGUAGUGGCAAACAGUUUGUAGCUCCUUGUUCAAUCCCUGCUUUCUGCUUGGGCUGCGGUGCAGCUAGUGCUGUGAUGGAGAGAGCUCCUGGGUGGAGGCUGAGCUCUUAUCUGUUUGUGUAGGCAGGGCACCGGGCACCUCCUGCUGCUGGCACUCGGCCUUCCUGCUGGGUGCUGCGAUCUGCCCAAACUCUACAUUGCUUUAUUUUGCUUUGUCUACGUGGAAAAUGUUCACCAUCAAGUGAAAAUAGUUUUGUUCCAGGCUCAGACAUGUAUUUACUCUAUAGAUCAUGGAGCUGCGUUGGACCGGUUUCCUGCAGUCCGGUCCUGGUGCUGACCCGGGGGGUGUUGGGGCGGUGGUGUCCCACGGCAGCACACUGUGAUUGUCACAGCGCUCGCUGAUGGUGGCCUUGCUGAGGCUGCUGUGCUGCAGCCACCUGGGAACGCUCAGUCCGUGCUGCAGGGAGGCUCCACGUGUGUACACACAGCAGUGGCAGUGGUGCCAGCUGCCCGGAGCGGUUUCAGGACUGCCCUGGAGCACUUGCAUCCCUGUAGGAGAUGGAGCAGCGUGUGUACAGCAGGAAGAGGAGGCUGCCGAUAAUGACAGCCGGCUGACGCCGGGGUAAGCAGCGAGGCAUGGAAAUGCGGUGUGCCCAGAGCUGUCUGCAUGGGAUCCAGCACCAUCGCGGGGCUCUGCCCUUUCCCACAUGUCAGACAGGAUGGAUUAAGGAAUACAAAUCACAGAGCUCUGCACGCAGGUGGAUGUUGGAGUGGCAGCACCACGCUGCGCUGUGAGCUUCUGCCCUGGAGGUGCUGUGAAUGCGCUGCAGUCCGUGAGGACGCUGCUGCGAUGAGCCCCGUGCUGUGCUGCUCCGGGAGCGGCUGUUGUGGAGCCCUGCGGGCUGUGAGGGCCGUGGCUGCUUUCAUCCCGCUGCACGUGGGGGGGCGGCCGCGGGUGUCCUGUGCGGGAGGAACGGGGAGAGGAAAGCUUUGAUUCCUGGCGAUGGACACCGCGGUGCUCGGGAUGGAAGGAAUCGGGGCCGGGGGCUCCUGCUUUGCUUUUAUCCUUUGUGACUGGGACUUCUUGUUGUGGGAACGGCUGUGACCUCUCCUCUGGCUUUGUUUGUGCUCCCCGGCCGACAUUGUUCACAGCGGCUUUGAUAUGCAGCUCGGAGGGGGGGGGGCAGGAAGAGCUGAGCCUGCUGCCCACCGCACACUGCGGCCUGGCAGGGGGUGCCCCUGAGCUCAGAUGGAUCUCCCCGUACCCCAGGGAGGACAGCUGAGCCCCGUGCCAUCAUGGGCUGUCCCCGAAGUGAUGAGUUGUGCCCGGCGUCUGCCUCUUGGUGUGAUUUUCUAGGAAAGGAGAGCCGGGAGGCUGCAGAGCUGCCGUGCUGUGCUGUGCUGUGCUGUGCUCAGGGCGUGGGGUCACUGCUGGAGGUGGGAGAUGCCCACGGCGUGCAGUCCACGAUGGCCUGCACAGCAAGGCAGCCCUGUCAGGGACAGCUCACACUCACGAUUGCUGUUCUCUGGGGUACGUUGUGAAAAUCCCAAUGAGUUUUGUUUUUCCACGGCACAGCAGGCUCCCCAGGCAUCAGAGAAGACAAUUCCCAGAAGCUGUAAAACCCUCCACUUGUUUACACAACUCAACGUGCACUUUAUAAUAUUGUGUCACCCUUCAACCUCCUCUGCUGUUGUUUUAUGUGCUGGAAUCUGAAAUGCGUGUAAGCCCUGGUGACGCUGUAUGCCUUACACAAGCUCGAGAUGCUUUUAAUUGCAAAUUCGGCGCUGUUUCUAUGAGCAGUUGACAACUCAAUCACAGGAGCCAGCUGUCAGGAAGAAGAGCUCUUAUCAGGUAUCAAACGCAGCCCUACGGUCAGAGACGGGAGCUCAGGGCAGGGGUUUGAUUCAGGCCCUGGGCUUUGUGGGAUGGGUCUGUUACGUUGUGCCCACUUCAAGCUGAGCUCUGCCUUGCAGGUGCUUUCCAGCAUGGCAGUGCCAGUGCAGGAAGCAGAGCUGGGUCUGACCUGAACCUCUCUACGCUAAGGGUGUUGGAGCCGCCCCACCUCCUGAAUUGGAGGAAGUCUUUUCCUGAAGUGUGCACAGAAAGGCUCCAGGUUUCUGGCUCAGGAAGUCGCUCCUCCAGCCUGGGGCGGGCGCAGACACCCCUGUCAGGCCCAUGGAAUCCCAGCGAGUGAAGUCCUGCCAGGAGCAGUGCGUUCGGUUGCUCCCGCUCUGUUUUUUCUUCCCAUGCUGUGCCAGAGGACGAGCAGCCGGGGUCCUCCUUCCUAUUCAGAGAAGGUGCCGUGGCUUAAAUCUAGGCUGAAAACAAACAUACAUCUAGUUUUGUUCCUUAGGCAUCCUAAAGACUUUCCCACAAAUAAGGCAAAAUGUGUACAUUUUAAAGCGCUCUGCUCCUUGGGAUUCGUGUUUCUACUUGAAAAUGAAAAGCUUGUAAUUCUCUAAAUGUGGCAUCAGCUGCUUCUGAGAUGUAUAAUUUAAGCACUUUGAAUGUAAGCACGUGCCUUUAAUGCCAUAAUUUCUUAAUACCACUGCCACAACUGUUAAAACAUAUAUGUAAUUUGAUUAUAGCUUUAUGCUAAAUGCAGAAC
ensembl:lncRNA